rnacentral:rRNA from 1 species
UGGGGAAUUUUGGACAAUGGGGGAAACCCUGAUCCAGCCAUCCCGCGUGUGUGAUGAAGGCCUUCGGGUUGUAAAGCACUUUUGGCAGGAAAGAAACGUCAUGGGUUAAUACCCCGUGAAACUGACGGUACCUGCAGAAUAAGCACCGGCUAACUACGUGCCAGCAGCCGCGGUAAUACGCAGGGUGCAAGCGUUAAUCGGAAUUACUGGGCGUAAAGCGUGCGCAGGCGGUUCGGAAAGAAAGAUGUGAAAUCCCAGAGCUCAACGUAGGAACUGCAUUUUUAACUACCGGGCUAGAGUGUGUCAGAGGGAGGUGGAAUGCCGCGUGUAGCAGUGAAAUGCGUAGAUAUGCGGAGGAACACCGAUGGCGAAGGCAGCCUCCUGGAAUAAGACUGACGCUCAUGCACGAGAGCGUGGGGAGCAAACAGG